rnacentral:rRNA from 1 species
CCUACGGGAGGCAGCAGUGGGGAAUAUUGCGCAAUGGGCGAAAGCCUGACGCAGCGACGCCGCGUGGGGGAUGAAGGCCUUCGGGUUGUAAACCCCUUUCAGCAGGGACGAAGCGAAAGUGACGGUACCUGCAGAAGAAGCGCCGGCUAACUACGUGCCAGCAGCCGCGGUAACACGUAGGGCGCAAGCGUUGUCCGGAAUUAUUGGGCGUAAAGAGCUCGUAGGCGGGAUGGCAAGUCGGUCGUGAAAUCCCUCGGCUCAACCGAGGAGCGUCGAUCGAUACUGCCGUUCUUGAGGGUUGCAGAGGAGACUGGAAUUCCCGGUGUAGCGGUGAAAUGUGUAGAGAUCGGGAGGAACACCGGUGGCGAAGGCGGGUCUCUGGGCAACUCCUGACGCUGAGGCGCGAAAGCGUGGGGAGCAAACGGGAUUAGAUACCCCGGUAGUCCACGCUGUAAACGAUGACGACUAGGUGUGGGGGGGUUCAGUCCCCUCCGUGCCGCAGCUAACGCAUUAAGUCGUCCGCCUGGGGAGUACGGCCGCAAGGUUGAAACUCAAAGGAAUUGACGG